rnacentral:rRNA from 1 species
CGGCGGACGGGUGAGUAACGCGUGGGUAACCUGCCUCAUACAGGGGGAUAACAGUUAGAAAUGACUGCCAAUACCGCAUAAGACCACGGUACCGCAUGGUACAGUGGUAAAAACUCCGGUGGUAUGAGAUGGACCCGCGUCUGAUUAGGUAGUUGGUGGGGUAACGGCCUACCAAGCCGACGAUCAGUAGCCGACCUGAGAGGGUGACCGGCCACAUUGGGACUGAGACACGGCCCAG